rnacentral:lncRNA from 1 species
CAUAUAUUAGAAAAAUAAAAUAAAAUUAUAAAAAUAUGUGUAUUGUACAUCUUUCCAGAUUGCAGGAGAUUCUGCUUUUGUUUUUUCUUAAAUGAAAGUAAAAUGCAACAUAUAUAUGGUUUAAGACAUUAUACAAAUAAGAUUGACUUUAAGAAGAAAACAAUCCUGUAAUUCAAGUUGCAAUAUAAAUCUAUAAAUUGAAGAAAAUGAGCAGUAAUCCAAGUGCAAAAAUUUCUCUGAGUGAUUUUUCGGAAAGCAAUACACCUGAGCACAUGGCAUUUAGCAAAAUUUUAGGGAAGUCUAUCCUGGUUAGCCCUAAUGAGGAACAAUAUGAAUUGUUAUUAACCAGAUUGAAGCAACAGUUAGAGAGCGGAAGAGGCGAAGUAAUUCUAGAGAUUGGUGGUUGUGAAGAUGGUUCCGAUAUUUGUUUGAAUGAAGAGGAAAAGAAUGCAGCUGUUGCUACAUUGCAAUCUUUGGCAACCAGUUUACAUUGUAGUUGUGUGUUAUUGAGAGAACGUAAAGAUAUUUCUGGUAUUGUUGCUCAGUACCUAAUAAGGAAACUGUUAGAUCCUAGCGGUAAGUAAAUUAUUAAUUUUCCUAC